rnacentral:rRNA from 1 species
AUUGAACGCUGGCGGCAUGCUUUACACAUGCAAGUCGAACGGUAACAGGCCGCAAGGUGCCGACGAGUGGCGAACGGGUGAGUAAUGCAUCGGAACGUGCCCAGUCGUGGGGGAUAACGCAGCGAAAGCUGCGCUAAUACCGCAUACGAUCUAUGGAUGAAAGCGGGGGACCGAAAGGCCUUGCGCGAUUGGAGCGGCCGAUGUCAGAUUAGGUAGUUGGUGGGGUAAAGGCUCACCAAGCCAACGAUCUGUAGCUGGUCUGAGAGGACGGCCAGCCACACUGGGACUGAGACACGGCCCAGACUCCUACGGGAGGCAGCAGUGGGGAAUUUUGGACAAUGGGCGCAAGCCUGACCCAGCAAUGCCGCGUGCAGGAAGAAGGCCUUCGGGUUGUAAACUGCUUUUGUACGGAACGAAACGGUCUGGGUUAAUACCUCGGGCUAAUGACGGUACCGUAAGAAUAAGCACCGGCUAACUACGUGCCAGCAGCCGCCGUAAGAC